ACAAGUGGUCACGUGAGCAAUGUCAAACAUAACAAUGCGAACAUGGCCGUACCGUAUUACGAAAGAACAGACAGUUUUAGGGGAAGUUGCUCGGAAAAUAAAGCUAUUCGAGCAAAGAAAAACGAGGCUGCUAAAACCUCGUUCUUUUCCUUUUAGCAGUGGAUUCACCAUGGUCUACAACAUCACUUGGAUUAUUCCCAAGCUCCGUAAUCCAACGGGACUGUGGAACAUGGCUAGUACUAUAACCUUUGCUGCUGUAGGAAUUUUUUCUAAAAUCAUUAUAGAAUGGUUCAACAAAACAACUAUUUACAACAAACACAUUAUUCAGAGGGCAUUGGAUUCUCGACCAAAAAAUGUGCCUCUCAUUACAGUUUCAAAUCAUCACAGUUGUUUCGAUGAUCCGGGUAUAUGGGCAACUCUGGACCUGAGGUAUUUGCUGAAUCGCCGAAAAGUAAGGUGGUCCCUAGCAGCACAUGACAUUUGUUUCACAAAUGUAUGGCACUCUUACUUCUUUAUGCUUGGGAAAUGCAUACCAGUCAUCAGGGGAAAUGGAAUUUUCCAGGAUGCUGUAGAUUUCUGCAUCGAGAAACUAUCUUCCGGCGAGUGGGUUCACGUCUUCCCUGAAGGCAAAGUCAAUAUGCUCAAGGAGAAUUUAAGGUACAAAUGGGGCAUUGCAAGGCUCAUUCUUGAAUCGCCAGUGAUUCCUCUCGUCGUUCCGAUUUAUCAUCUAGGCAUGGAUGAUAUUCUUCCGAACGAGCCACCCUAUAUUCUUAAAACGGGCAAAAGAGUCACUAUGUAUUAUGGAGAACCAAUAGAUUUUAGCGAUAUGAUAGCUGAGCUCCGAGCAACCAAAGUCACUGAAUCCGAAGCCAGAAUAAUCAUCACCAAUCGUGUUCAAGAAGAACUCAAUAAAGCUUUCUUACAAAACCAUUAAAUGUGACAGCUUCUGGGAAAACAGUGCUUACGACUAAAAUUAACUUUUCGAGAAAAACGUAUUUAAAAUAUACUAUUCUAUAGUGGUGUACGUAUUAAUCCUACGAUUUGAAAAUUAAAUAAAUAAAGUAAGGAGAAAGAAAUAAGGUAUAGUACUUUCCUGAGUGUAGCAAAGAGACAAAAGGUACAUGAUUUUCUUCAAACUACUUAUAUUAAAAUUAUAUUCAACACUCCAAUAUUAUAUUUAGUAAAAUAUUUAAAAGAAGAAUUGAUUAAUAACAAAUUAAAUAAUAUUUAUAAUUUUGUGUGUUUAUGUUAGCCGCUACAGUGGUAAUACAAUGGCUUAAAACUUGUUAUUCGAGAGUUUUUAGGUUCGCUGACUACUAAUUUGAUAUCAGAUUUUUUAAAUUCAAAAUGGCAAAUCUAAUAUGGCGGAAAAAUUUGUUUCCAAAUUGAUUGGAUAUGAUUGAAACUCAUUAUUUAGGGGUUUUUAGAAUUGCUAAUUACGAUUCCAAUGUCAGUUUUUCAAAAUUCAAAAUGACGGACCUGAACGUCGAAUAUUUUUAUGAUAUUUUAGAUGGAUAGAUUACACACAGUCGCAGAGAAACUUCAUACUAAGGCUUGAUGCAAGAUAUUGGUUACUGACGUAGAAUAUUAGCGCGAAUAUGCACUUUGCAAGUAUUGGAGAGUAACAAAAUGAAGAGAAUAUAUCCUUUAAAAGGACAAGUUGUUAGUUAAAGUGACUUUUAUUGUAUUUUUAUACUAAAUGCGCCAUUCCAGAAUUUCUGCCAAAGUCUUUGAGUCAGUACGUAGAGCGAAACGUGUUAGCUUUUCAAGUCUACGUACCUUGCCACUACUAUACAAACCAUUAAAUUCGUCAAUGGCGCAGUUGUACAUAUAUGAAUGUGAAUAUAAUGAAUUUUUAAAUCGGAUUGUCCGAUGUUGUCAAGUGGCCAUGGCACAAAAGUCAACGAGAGAAUAUGAUAAUAGGACGAAUAAAAUUUCGAAUUAUCGACACGUUUCAGUGAAAUAUUGGUUAACAUUUAU